GUGACAGAAUAUUUCCGAACAAAUUAGAAAGAUAGAUCUAUUGAUUUUGUAGGAACUGAACUAACAUUAGGAAGAUACGCGGAUUUCAAUAUUACCUGUAAUUAGCGAUCAUAAGUCAUACAAAAAUAGACAGAUUUUGUAUCCUUUGCCAAUUAGAGGUUAAAACGUGAUGUUAUGGACAUUCUCAUUUUUACAACAAUACUUGCACUUUUAAGGACCACUUUUGACCUGCAACAAUAAGCUGCUAUUGUAAAUGGAAUUUACAAAUUUAGUGAUGAUGUUGUCAUAGGAACGGUUUUAUUCCAAAGCAAAUAGUUAUAUAGAAGAAACAACAACAUAUUCACUUGGACUUGACAUAACAAAUUUUAUCUCUGAUAUGUAAUAGAGUUAAACGUGACACGUACAAGAAAUUCAAUAAUGUUUUAUGAACAUUUUGUCAGGAAAAUAACAAGAUACGCAUGCUGUCAUUAAGAAUACGAUGGGUUGUUCUUCGUCACAGUUCAAUAACAGAAAAAUCUACAAAAAACAGAGAGAAGAGGACUUUUCUACCUCUGGAGAGGAUAUAAGAGGAGUUCCAGAUGGUCAGGAAACAUUUCAAGGAAUGGAAGGACAGAAGCCAAAACCAAAAACCAAAAAACCAAAAGAGGUUGUGAGAUCCAUGUCCAGUGAUAUACCGUCCGGUACUGACAUUACCAUGUUGAGAGCAGGAAGUGACGACGAAUCAAAGGACAUUAUAUAAACAAUGACGUCAGAUGAAAUUGAAGAUGAAAAACAAUCAUUGACCUGUUGGAAUUCACCUUUUAUUUGUUUUCCCCAAAAGGCAUUUUUCAUUUGAUUUUGAUAGAAUGUGUAUGCUAGUAUAUUGAGAGUGUGGGAAUAUGAACGAAUUUCGGUGUUGUGACUUUACAAAUGUUGUGAUUUCACAAGUGUACUUCAGAGUUUCUAAGAGUAAAAAUUGGAAACAAAAAACAUUUUCAAAGUCAGGAAUUCGUUGAAAGGUAUGAUCCUAACAUUGCAUGAUGUACCAUUAUCUCACAGAAUUCGUUAAAUCUACCUGAACAAUUGUGACUGUAAUCUUAUAAAUACACGUACUACAUUAUUUUUACUGUCAUUUCUAUACUUUAUACAUGUAUAUGUAACUCACACUUGCUAUACAAACUUGUAUAUUGUUAAUAUGUAUUUGUUUUCUGUAAUAGUUUUUUUAAGCGAUUACAUUCAUAUUUUACAUACUUAAAUAAUUACGAAUUCGUUAGUGGAAAGAAAACAAUGGUUUUCUCGUGUUAAAAAAAAAUAUUCCAAUUAUUAAAAAAAAUUUGAUGAUUGACUAUAUUUUGAAAUGAAUAUUGAAGUUCAACGUCCAAUGGCAAAUUAUAUAUGCAAAUCAAGAUGAGAGAAUGUUAAUUUGAUAUGAAUAUGCUGUGCACUUCUUCAAAAUUCUUUAUCUUAUUCAUAAAAGCAAUGAGAUUAAGUGAUCAAUGGUGUUCACUUUACAUGUCAAAUGUUUUAAAGAGACAUUAAAUAAUGUAAAAUGGUAUUUUCUCAUUGCAUUCUUUCAUUUUACAUGUCAAAUGUUUUAAAAGAGACAUUUAAUAAUGUAAAAUGGCAUUUUCUCAUUGCAUUCUUUCACUUUACAUGUCAAAUCUUUAAAAGAGACAUUAACUAAUGUAAAAUGGCAUUUUCUUAUUGCAUUCUGAGUACAUAUGUCUCUAUUUACAUUGUAGGAAAUAUCAAAUUCGUGAGUACGAAUGCAAAGACGUCUUCUAUGUUGCUGUAAUGUACGAGUUGUUUCUUUCUCGCGCAAUUCAGCCUCGACAACUUACCAUUUUGUGCUUGUUUUUUUUCAAAUUUCAAACGGUUGUCUGAUUCUAUAGAAGAAUAUGGACCGUGAAUUCGAGUUAUCAUUAUGAAUCACUUUUACAAUUUUUAAAAUGUUAGGAAAUUAUUAUUGAUAACUAAGACACAAAAGACCAAGUUUAAAGCUUCAAGUUUUAUAUUUUAUCAUGUGUUCACUGUUUAUGGUUAUUUAUCGACUCUUACUUCAUAAAAGUUAUUUUUACUGUGCGUUUCUAUGGCCAUGCAUUACGUAGACUGU